CUACGGGAGGCACCAGUGGGGAAUAUUGCACAAUGGGCGCAAGCCUGAUGCAGCCAUGCCGCGUGUAUGAAGAAGGCCUUCGGGUUGUAAAGUACUUUCAGCGGGGAGGAAGGGAGUAAAGUUAAUACCUUUGCUCAUUGACGUUACCCGCAGAAGAAGCACCGGCUAACUCCGUGCCAGCAGCCGCGGUAAUACGGAGGGUGCAAGCGUUAAUCGGAAUUACUGGGCGUAAAGCGCACGCAGGUGGUUUGUUAAGUCAGAUGUGAAAUCCCCGGGCUCAACCUGGGAACUGCAUCUGAUACUGGCAAGCUUGAGUCUCGUAGAGGGGGGUAGAAUUCCAGGUGUAGCGGUGAUAUGCGUAGAGAUCUGGAGGAAUACCGGUGGCGAAGGCGGCCCCCUGGACGAAGACUGACGCUCAGGUGCGAAAGCGUGGGGAGCAAACAGGAUUAGAUACCCCCGUAGUC
rnacentral:rRNA from 1 species